UCUGCAGAUACAGGUUCUCUCCAUCCUUCUGGUGUUUGCCCACUCACUCCCUCACCCUGCCUUCAACGCCCUCCACCCUCUUCUGUACCCGGGAGGCAGAACCUCUAGGGAGGUUCUGGCAAGGCCAGAUCUAAAGAGAUUUGUAACUUCCACUUUUGUUGCUUAUAACACGCCCUCUUGGAAGCCAGGCGCUGUGUAAGAGGUCUGACUACCCCGAGGCCACCACGUUGUGAGGAAGCCCAAGCCAGGCGCACAGAACCGCGUUGGGGCACCAGACAGUUUCUUAGGUCUGUCCUUACAAAUGACCGCAAGCUUGGCGGCUGAAAACCACAGAAACUUAUUCUCUCGUGAUUCCGGAGGCCAGAAGUCCAAAAUCAAGGCGUUGGCCGGAUCGGUGCCCUCUGGAGGCUCCGAGGGAGAGUCCGUUCUGCACCCCUUAUUUGUGCCUUGCAGCUGCCAGCAACCCCCCGGUGCUCCUUGGUUUGGGCUCACACGGCUUCAAGCGUCACUCCAUCUCUACGUGCUGCCUUCUCUCCGAAUUUAUCCUAAGGAAAUAAUUGGACAAGUUCAGAAAGUUGCGUGGAUGAGAAGGAUAUUCAUCACAUAAAAUGGCGCGACCAUACUCACUUCGCUAGAUUUGGGGAAGUUUCCGUGAGAUCACGUGUUACGAAGCAUCUGGCACCUGCUAGGCGUUCAAAAUCAUAGCCGUUGUUCUCGGUUAUCAGUGAACUAAGGAAUCUUAGAGGUUGGUUUGUUUAUUAAUUAACCCUCCCGUCUAUUUAUUAAUUCAAUAAGCGUGGUCUGGAACAUACUGUGUGCGUGGCUGUGUGUGGAUGAAGACAGUAGGGAUGAUGAGAAUAGCGAACCCUUCUACGUGGUGCCGGGCACUAUUGUAA